CAGAAGACCCAUCCCCAAGAAAGAUAGUGCAGGCUCUCUCCAUCCAGCUUCCUUUUAUCUUAAAAUCGCACCCGCUGUCCGAUCCGUUUGUGGCUAAUAUCACAUCUAAGUGUGUCUUAAAUUGUAAAAUCGACGAUUUCUUCACCGUGAAUAACAGAUCUUUUGAAUCUCUGCUCUCCCCUCUAUACGCAUACCAUUUUCUAUGCGCUGAAAACAGCUGUGUUGUUGUUGUUGUUGUUGUGUGUGUGUAUACACAAAACAUAAUUCAAUUAAUUAACUGAUCACAUACAUAUAUUAUAAAUACAGAUCUAUAAUGAAUUGAUUUACCUUUUGUUGAAAGGUGAUUACGGGGUUGUCAGCGGCGUCAAGAAGAACGCGGCGAUCGUGGAGGCUGAACACCGACCCUUUCACCUUGAACAUCAAGGUGCCGUUAACGUCAGUAACCGCGAACGAACCUUCCUUCAUGGUCAUC
rnacentral:lncRNA from 1 species